AUUUCUUUAGUAUAACUAAUACUAGUGAUUUCCAAUUACUCUAUCUUGGUUAGACCCCAGGAAGAAAUA
rnacentral:tRNA from 1 species